GGCGGGGGCAGGUGGCGUUGGCGCAUCUCUUUGAGAGCGCCGCGCUUUGCGCCCCCUCCCAAUAACAGAUAGGUGAAAAUAUAACGCUGAGGUGCCCAUGGAUUGCCAACCGACUUAUAUCGAAAGAGCACCACCGGCUGCGGAAUCCGAUGA